AGCUGCCAAGUGAAGAAGUACAUAUCUGUUGCCCUUUCUGCCAUGAUGGACACCAAUAACUCACAAUCUUUCUGCACCCAGCUAUCACCAAACCCUUGGCUGGUACAAAAAAUUCCAAGUUAAUUCACUGCAACCUUGGCAUUAUCAGUACUGCACAUACCACCCUGUAGCCCAGUAACUAUUCUGUAAAAUCCCCAGCAAGCUUUUGUUUCUUUGCAGUCAGCUCCUCUCUUGCUGGCUGCCUGUUGCUCCCUGGCAAUGUAUU
rnacentral:lncRNA from 10 species